UUGGAUAUUUGCUAGAGGCUUUAUGAGCCAUAAAAGUCAACACUGAACUUUCAUUGACCAUAAACGCCUCUGUGUAUGUGAUAAGGAAAAAACAUGUUCAUCUGUGGAGGAUUAAGCAAGAGGAAACAGUGAUCCAGUCACUGAGUCAAUCAGCUCGCAAUCAGCAAGGAAGAGGGCAUUCUUAUACAAGGCACUGCUUGAUCACCUACCAUUAUAGUAAUAUUAAGAAAUUGAAGAAGAGUCACAACAACCAGGAAAUACUGCAGCAGCCUUACUUGGAUUCUGGCCUGGCUGUGGUUAUCUAGUGGUUUAGAGAGGUGAAACCCAAUUAUAGUCUGUUUUUUUGCUUUGACUGUAGAAAUAUUGUAUAAUUCAACCCCAGUGCACAUCACUUAGCCUGGCUCACAUAGCUACCCCUUCAGGCUUUUCUGCAUCUCUUCAAACACACAGGCCUGUUCCCAAAGUGUUUCCCUGGCCUUUAAUUCAACCUGAAACCAUCGCAAAAUAAACUGGUUGCUGACCAUUUUUUAAAUUUCCAAACUUCUUAUAUUUCAGCACAUGCACAGUUGACCUGAUUCUGAUUUUACACUGUAUUUUAACAGUGGUUUAAUUCUAAAUCCUCUGAGACUAGUUGGGUCACUCCCAAUUCAUUUGAAGUACGUUAGAUAAGAAUUAGAUGCAUAGAUUAUUUCACAGCCCUUGCCCCAUCAUAAAACCGGAGGAGAAAUCCCAAACGCAUUGUAGGAGGAGCACUGCAAGAGCUAAUAUUAACUAUUUUAGCAGAUGCUUUACUCACCACAGUGGAACCCACAUUCUUGGAAUACAGUCUACACAGAAAGUAUUAUGGGUUUUACAACAUAGGGCACCAAAUAGGGGAAGUUCUUUAAAGUAUGAGACAAGUGGCUAUCCUAGUGCCUUUAGGGGGGUGUUUAACAAAAUGUUGAAACCAUUUAUAUGUUCUCUUAUUAACAAAAUCUUCUUAAAGGGCUGUCCGGCGGACUAGAAUACAAACUUUAUCUGUGAGGUGUGAGAUAAGGAUUUAACUUGAGGUAAAGUCAAAGCCAGAAUAGCCACUGAAUUCUUACUCAACUGGUGAGGAAAACUUUUGAAAGAUACUGUAGCCAGUGGUUCCUCUGUCCCACUCACUAGUAGUCUAGAACUGUUUGAGACCUAUAUGUGAGAAAUGAUGAAAAUUUUCAGCAGCAGCCUUUUAGCAGUUUCAGUUAUGGUCAGGUACUGUUGAAAAACAUAGCUAUUGUAUGAUAGGGGUAUUUUAAGGAGGUUUGGAAACUAUUGUGAAUCACUUGCAACAUCUAAGGAAGAUUGCAAUUAUAACCUUAUGAAUCCGGGUGGUGAGAAUGGACUUUGCUUAUUCCAGCUUUAUUCACUUUGAAAUCUUGUUCAUGAGAAAGGACAGAUGUGCCAUUUCCUGGUUUUGUUACACAUGCUGUCACAAGAGUUGAGUCGUCAGCAUCUAAAUGCCCCUUUUGACUCAGAAAUCUUUUGUGUGUGUGUGUGUUGACCAGCAUCCCAGUUCAUCUCUUCCUCCACACGUUAUUGAUUCAUGUAAGAGAGGGAUAAAUUGGAGUGGCCAGCUAUCAGUCUUCUUACAAAGAGGGCAAAAAUCAGAGAAGCACACGCUACUCAAAAAUACAGCCUUUCAGGGGAUCCAGGAGGCUUUCAAAUUCUGAUCUCUUACAGCAGCAGCUGGAUCAAAGGGCAUAGAUUGUUUGAAUGUUAAAGUUCAAUUAUCCAGACACAUUCUCUGUGUCAGUCAAGGAAAAAAGCUCCCCUAAUGGCACAGACAAGCAGCAGACUUUGCUUCUUUUUCCCUGCCCCCGGAGUUCCUGAGGCAUUUAUGGUUAGGUGCCAAUUGGAAACUAGUAAUCCACUUCAUCUAUUUCCUCCAAAAUAGGACCAAUCGGCACAGCCUGACAUAAGCUGGAAAUGAGGACAGCCGGCACCAGGUGAUCAACCAGCUCUCUGCAGACCAUUACUACCGUGAUGAACAAAAAGACUCAACGGCUUGCUCAACUGUAAUGCUACUAUUAGUACUAACCCAUAUUUAUAUGGCAUUUUUUAAACUAUUCGUGUUCCUGUAAGCAAAAUUCUAUACUAAUUGUUACAGUACACAUCUUUAAGAUGCAUACAAAUGUAAAAUAUCUGUUAUAAAGCAGCUAA